GGAAAAGUUACAAUAUUGUUUUGAACUGAUGAUGCUGAAACCUCUCCAUCAUAUAGAAACAUUUGGCUAGGGUAAUGUUGUUAUGAUUAAUUUCAUUU